GCCUGCAUGAAGUCGGAAUUGCUAGUAAUCGCAGAUCAGCAUGCUGCGGUGAAUACGUUCCCGGGCCUUGUACACACCGCCCGUCACACCAUGGGAGUCGGUAACACCCAAAGUUGGUAGCCUAACCGCAAGGAGGGCGCCGCCUAAGGUGGGAUUGAUGACUGGGGUGAAGUCGUAACAAGGUACC
rnacentral:rRNA from 1 species